UACGUAGGGCGCAAGCGUUUGUCCGGAAUUAUUGGGCGUAAAGAGCUCGUAGGCGGUUUGUCGCGUCUGUCGUGAAAGCCCACAGCUUAACUGUGGGUCUGCGGUGGAUACGGGCAGACGUAGAGGCAGGUAGGGGAGAACGGAAUUCCCGGUGUAGCGGUGAAAUGCGCAGAUAUCGGGAGGAACACCGGUGGCGAAGGCGGUUCUCUGGGCCUGUACUGACGCUGAGGAGCGAAAGCGUGGGGAGCGAACAGG
rnacentral:rRNA from 1 species